UAUACUCACACCUACUUAAUAAUGGAUGCUGUUAGAACUGUGACGACAGUUCCUUUUGAAGACUCCAUGUGAAGCUCUGGGUCCAAUGACAAGCAGUAGUGGUGAUGGGUAAUAACUUAGUAACAGUUUAAAUGCACAUUUUUAUGAGACAAGUAACUCUUCUCAGGCAAGUAAAAAGCAGACUAAUGAGAUGUUCCUAUGGGAUUUGAUAUAAACAUUAGAAAGGAAAACAUCCUGCCAGCUGUGACUCCACCUAGAGCAAAGGCUAUAUAAGCACUUCAAAGAGGAAAUAACCAAGAAGCUUGGAAUUCAAACACAGUCACAGCUGCUUGAGCUUUCCAUCAGGACCACAGACAGAAAUAAACGAAAACUGGGUGCACACUAUGGAUACUAAAGGCUGUACUACGAUUUCUUGUUCGACGCCACAGCAACGCUGCUCUCGGAUUACAAAUUUUCAGACCAUUUCUUCUAACGCUAACUGCCAACACAGUGGUCUUGAAGCCAACAGCCACCAACCAACUGGCCAUGUUCUGUGGGCUGCCAGACCCACUCCUUGUUUUUAUUUCACACCCAUCUGCUUAAUAAACAACGUCAAUGCCUGUCUACCUCUGGAUGACUGCGGCUGGUGUGGUGAAGGCAUCAACAGUAAUGAGAAAGAGACCAUGCAAAUCUUGAAUGAGCGCCUUGCUAACUACCUGGAGAAGGUACGGACCUUGGAAAAAGAGAAUGCUGAACUGGAAUGCAAAAUCCUGGAGGAGUGUAACAAAGAGUUCUGUGUUGUAUGUCCUGACUACAUGUCCUACUACACUACUAUUGAGGAGCUCCAGCAGAAGAUCUUGUGUACCAAGGCUGAGAAUUCCAGACUGGUCUCACAAAUUGACAACACCAAACUGGCUGCUGAUGACUUGAGAGCCAAGUAUGAAGCUGAGGUGUCUGUACGCCAGCUGGUGGAGGCUGAUGCCAAAGGCCUACAGCAGAUCCUGAAUGCACUGACCCUGGCCAAGGCUGACCUGGAGGCACAAGUCCAGUCUCUGAGGGAGGAGCUCCUCUUCCUCAAAAACAAGCAUGAAGAGGAAAUCAACUCCUUACAGAGCCAGCUUGGGGACAGACUCAACAUUGAAGUGACUGCUGCCCCUUCUGUUGAUCUAAACAGGGUUCUACAAGAAAUGAGAUGUCAGUAUGAGUCCAUCAUGGAGACAAAUCGCAGAGAAGUGGAACAGUGGUUCAACACACAGAUGGAGGCACUGAACCAACAGGUGGUGACCAGCUCUCAACAGCAGCAGUGCUGCCUGAAGGAGAUCUCUGAACUGAGACGUACCAUGAAUGCUCUGGAGAUUGAACUGCAGGCCCAGCACCGAAUGAGAGAUUCCCAAGAAUGCAUCUUGGUGGAGACAGAGGCCCGCUACACAGCUUUACUGGCCCAGAUCCAGUGUCUGGUCGAUAACAUAGAGGCUCAGCUGGCAGAGAUACGGUGUGCCCUGGAAAGACAGAACCAAGAAUAUGAGAUUCUGCUGGACGUCAAGUCCCGGCUGGAGUGUGAGAUUGCCAUAUACCGCAGCCUUCUGGAGAGUUCAGAAGUCAAGCUUCUCUGUAACCCGUGUGCCACCAAAUGUGAGCCUUCCAGUAAGGCCAGCGCCAUGGAAUGCACAGCUCUGGUUUACAAUACACCAUCCUCAGCUUCCCACAGGACACAGGAGCCUUGCUGUGCCUACAGAGUCCUGCCUCGAAUACUGGUUAAAAUCUGCACCAUCACUCAGGAGAUUCAGGAUGGCAAAAUUAUUUCUUCCCAUGAGCAUGUGCAGCCUUGCUUCCUUAUCAGAAUUGCCAGAGUUUGACAUCCCAAGGUGAAGAAAAUAUCCCUCGUUCAUGAAAGAGAGGUCAAUACUUGUUCCUACCAGAAAGGCUUAAAAGUCCCCAGCCCCUUUAAGGGAAUGGGAGUUGUUUCUGACUAUUUAACAUAGAACAUGGAGCUGGAACUCUCACACGUUGUUCCUCCAUCUCCCUGGGACUGAUGACCAUGAAAACAUAGCUUAGCUUCCUCCUUCAAUCUAUCCAUCAGAGAGAAAUGGAUUUGAUAUCACAAACUUUGCAGAAAAGUAAUCAUUGAGUAAUUGCUGCUUGCAAGCACAAGACAGUCCCAAGUGAGAAUGGUAUGUACAUGGUACUGGCCAUCAUCAGAGCUUCUCACAGCAAGGUCACAAAGAGAUUCAGUCAAUCCCUACAAAAAUUAUUCAGUAUUUCCAGAAGUUUUAGUAAAUAAUUACAAAUUAAAUAUAGAAUGUGGAGUCAAAGACCUGAAGUCCUAAACUAGUUUCUUGAGACCUUAGACAAAACAUCUAGCCUUCAUCAAAUUUAAUUUCCUUAUUUGUUAAAUGAGAACCUUGGCUACUUGACAGGUUUGUUGUGCAGAUCAAAUGAAAUUGUUCAUAUCAUGCUACUUAGUACACUGAAGAACAUGGUGCAAAUGUUAUUUUUACAUAAGCUUUACUUUUAACUACAGCCCUAGACCUGUGUUAUUAUCUCAUAUCAAAAUUCUUUCCCCAUAAAUUUAGUUAUCCACUCAUGAUUUGGGGAGUUUUAAUAGUGCUUGGCUUUGAGGGGUGAAAGAAGAACAGAACAAGAUCUUCUUGUCAUCAAGCCUGGAAUUUUACUCAGUAAAGUGUUUCUGAAGUUAGGGUCUAUAUCAGAUAUCAGUUGAUGGCUGGUGCCCACAGCAAAGACAAAAGCAUCAUUUAACUCAUGCUCAGCAGCCACUUCCUCCAGACUAGUAGCAACUUGCACUGAGGGAGUGGAAUGCAGAACUCCCAGAGUGAUCUCUUUCUUGUCAAUAACUUCCUUCCCAUCCAAAUUCCCAGAUUACCCCUGGUAGCACAUCACUGCAUACCAUCUCAGACUGAAUGAUGGAAAUGUGGGAAGAGCAGGGGGCUUGCACUCAGAAGCCAUAGGAGAGAGUCUCACCCCAUUCUAUGUGUAUGACCUUGAGUAAAAGGGAUAUAAAGAUGUAGGCCCUAACACACUAGAGGGAUUAAAUGGAAUAAUAAUAGUGAAAGAGUCCUUUAAGUUAUACAAGGCCAGGCAGAAGGGAGGUUUUGUCCCCUGACUGGAAACCAGGCAUUUGUCAUUUCCUUACAUACUUCUUCCUUUGUGUCUGGUUAAGUGAUGGUCCCCAGUGGAUCACAUAUGUACUAUCAACACUAACUGGAAAACCAAUUGAGGAGAGGCUGGAGUUCUCAGUCUGUCCUAAGUUUUGAUUCCAACAGGAUUCAGGGUUUAGGAACCUUUCUGGACUCAGGCUAAGCUUGGGCUGCUAUGGCAAUGUCAUUCUCAAUUUAUCCACAAAACAAGAUCUCUUCUUCCCACUCCAGGCAUGUGCCACACUUGGCCAAAUUAUAGGUAUUUGAAACCAAAAAGACAGGAUCCUAGUCCUGUAGGGCAGUUAUAACACCAGGUUCCUUUCUCUGAAAGUCUAUAUAAAGUCCCAGUAAGACACAAUCAUAAAAAAGGAUUGACUCCAUGGAGCAAGAUGGCUUUUUGUUUGCUAGAGCCUGUCUCAGAGAGGGAAAGAAUAUCAAAACCCAUUUGGUGGUCCAUAAUUUUAUUUCUAAACAAGGAAGUUUAGGGAUAUAUUUUCUCUAGAUUUCAUCUUUUUUCAUGUUGACUCCACCUUAAUAUGACAGCUGGUUUAAACACUUCCAAAUGCUUCUCUCUUCCCCUUCAUCUCUCAAUCAUUAAUUGCCUUCCCAAUCCCUAUACAUGACUCACAAUCUCUCCAUCUUCAGCCUCUAGGAUCAAUUCCAGCAAUUUCUGCUUAGAAGAAGUGGCCUAAAAAUUUUCCCUCAAGAGUUCAGUUAGUGGUAACCCCUUACAUUACUUGCCAUGAGGAUUUCUCUAGUUAACCUAGAAACCACUUCUAUCCAAGUCCCCUGAGUCCCCCUACCUAUAAAAUUCAGAUUCUUGGGCCCUACCCUAGACCUCCUACAUUAGCAUCUCCAGCUGUGUGACCUGGGCAUCCAAAUUUUACAAAAUUUUCAGCCAAAGCAUGUAUGCCAAAUUAUAAAAGCCACUGCUUGCUAACUGACAAAUGCUUUUGGUUUAAAGAUCUGGAUGACUUGCUGCCUUCGGGGAUUAUCUUUUAAGCUCUGACACUAGCUUGACAGAUGACCACACUCACAGACAAUUCCUCCUCUACAUGUCUAUCCAUGUGUUUAUAAAGGAGGAUUAAUUUAAAAAGCUAAGAAGUAACUCAUUUAAUAACUAAUUCAUUUAAUCCUUACUACCACGGAAGAGCUACCACUAAUAUUCCCAUUUAACAGAUAAAGCAACUAAUGGGUAAAGCAAUUCAAUGUUUUCCCCAGUGUCACACAAUAAUAAGAUUGAAUUUUAAGUACUCUGAUUUCCUUAAGAAAGUUAAAACAGCACAGGAUACAUUUCACAGUCUCCAAGAAUAGAAGCAAUUCACAGUAGCAACAGAUUAUUUUUCCAACUCUUCAAGGAACUAUUCUAUAGCCUGCUUGUCAAUGAUUCCAGUGAGAGACCAUCCAAGGAAUCUAUGAUAUUAGCCUUUCAUUCUUUCUGUCCAGAAAUUCAUAGACUGAGUUUUAUAUUUAACUUCAUGUUAUUAUGGUAAGAAUGCUUAACAUGAGAUCUACUCUUAUAACAGAUUUUUAAGUAAACAAGACAGAAUUGUUAGCUAUAUGCACAAUGUUGUCCAGCAGAUCUUUAGAACUUAUUUUAUACCUUUUGAUUAGCAACUCUCCCUUUCCCCUUCUCCCCAGGCAAUCCCCUUCCCUGGCAACCACCUUUCUAUCCUUUGAUUCUAUGAGUUUGACUAUUUUAGAUAUAUCUCAUGUCUCAUAUAAGUGGAAUCAUAUAUCUCAUAUAAAUAGAAUCAUGCAUUAUUUGUCUUUCUGUGACUGACUUAUUUCAUUAGUGUAAUGUCCUCAAGGUUCAUUCAUGUUGUCACAUAUAGCAAGAUUUCCUUAUUUUUAAAGGCUGAAUAAUAUUCCAUUGCAUUUGUAUGUAUGUGUGUUGCAUAAACAUACAUACGUAUAUACCUCACGUUCUUUUUUAUCCACUCAUCAUCAAACAAUCCAUUUAGAUUGUUUCUAUCUCUUGGCUAUUGUGAAUAAUGACUCGAUGAGCACAGGAAUGCUAAUAUCUCUUUGAAAAUUAGAAAGAUUUCUGAUGACAUCUAAUAGCUUUUUUUUUUGUAUCAGAGGUGAAGAAAUGGGGUCCACAGACAAAGGAGAUUGGUCCAUGACUCAUAGUCAGUAAGAGAAUCCAGUGCUCUUUCUUCUACUUCUCAUUCCCCACCACAUCUGGAGUAGACAGCACUGGAACUGGGUUUGAUGGAAAACAAAACUGAACCAUCAGGCAGUGACCUUCCAUUCUAGUUCUUAAAAGCAUCAUUGACUUCUCUGCACUUAGACCUGGAGAUUUUUCUGAUCUAUUAUCUAAAUCCCUGAUGUUCCUCACCUUAUUGUGUCUUGCCUUCUGCAACUGUAAAUAGAAAAUAGCAUCAAAGAUAACAUCCUCCAAUUCCUUCUCUCUCUGAAGUCUUUUUUAAAAAGGCAAUCAGAUGCUAUUGAUAAGAUCUUUAAGUUUUUUAGAAGCUAAUUAUUGUAUGUUCUUCUUAUUGAUUUUCAUGUAUCAAACAAUGGAUAAAAGUGUAUUGCUCAUUGCAUGAGUAGGUCUACCCUAAUUCUGUCCAUUUUGAUUUAAAAUGCAAGUUCUGAUGAUAAAGAACAUUUUAUUUAUUUA